rnacentral:rRNA from 1 species
GAUGAACGCUGGCGGCGUGCCUAAUACAUGCAAGUCGAGCGAACAGACGAGGAGCUUGCUCCUCUGACGUUAGCGGCGGACGGGUGAGUCACACGUGGAUAACCUACCUAUAAGACUGGGAUAACUUCGGGACACCGGAGCUAAUACCGGAUAAUAUAUUGCACCGCAUGGUUCAAUAGUGAAAGACGGUUUUGCUGUCACUUAUAGAUGGAUCCGCGCCGCAUUAGCUAGUUGGUAAGGUAACGGCUUACCAAGGCAACGAUGCGUAGCCGACCUGAGAGGGUGAUCGGCCACACUAGAACUGAGACACGGACCAGACUCCUGCGGGAGGCAGCAGUAGGGAAUCUGCCGCAAUGGGCGAAAGCCUGACGGAGCAACGCGGCGUGAGUGAUGAAGGUCUUCGGAUCGUAAAACUCUGUUAUGAGGGAAGAACAAAUGUGUAAGUAACUAUGCACGUCUUGACGGUACCUAAUCAGAAAGCCACGGCUAACUACGUG